UCUUCUUCUUCUUCUUCUUCUUUCUCUUUCAUUCUUCUUCUUCUUCAUCUUCUCUGUUUGUUUUUCCUCUUCUUCUUUGUUCGAUCUAUGCAGUCUCCGUGAGUUGUGUGUUUUAAUCAUCGAAAUAAAUUAUAAGUCGAAGCUAUAUAAACGAUGAUGAAGACAUCGUGGUUUUGAUUUAUGAAGAAGAAUAAUCAGAGAUUGUUAUAGUUUCAUGUUAAAUAUGUGAAGAUCAAAAUUAGGGUUUGGCAUGAAAUUAAGAGUCAAACUAAGGUUGUGAUGGAUGAAGAAUCGAUAGGUUUUUGUUGAAUUGAUGAGGUGAAGAUGAUUCAAUGGCGAAUCAUUGAAAAACUUGAAUUAGGGUUUCUGCAGUUGGUUCGAGUCGUGUAAAAUUGAAGUUGGGAUUGAGACAAGAGAAGGAUUAACAAGUAUGGGUUGUUGAUAGUGAAGAUUAUGGAGUUUAAUUUUGAUUCAAAGGAAGUCAGAGUUUCUGUAGAUUGAUUGGAAUUUGAUUCGAUAAGGAUUAAGAAGAGUUAGAUGGAUUUACAGGAUGGGUUUGUUUAAUUGAAGGUUUUGGUUGUUGUUUUGGGUUCGAAUUAGAGAAGUGUUGAUUUGAUGGUUACUUUAGGAUUUUGUUGAUAACCAGUGAUGCAGUUGAAUUAGGGAUUAAAUUGAGAUGGUGAUGAGGAUGUUGUUGUUGAGAGAUGGAGUCUACAGAACAGUUGGAGAUUCAUGGAUCAGUUACUGAGGGUUAGCUCAAUGACUUGGAGAUGAUGAUGCUAUAUGUCAUAUGUGUGUUUGUGCUGAAUUGAGUCAAGUAAGGAGGAAUGCAAUUUCAUUAACUUAUUUGAAUCCAUUCAGAGGUAAUUGCUUUUCUCAACUUAACUUAUAGAGUUAUUGGUUUCUGUUUGUUAAGUUUUAUAUGAUUGUUGAUGAAGCUAAAACUUGACAUGAAUUUGAAAUUGAGAUGUGGUUGUUGUAUUGAGAGGCAGUUGAACUUAAUUUAGUUGGUGGUGUUGAACUGGUGGUGCAAAAUGGUUAAGAUGAGUGUGAUGUUGGAUUUGUUCAGCUAAAUUGUGAUGAUGAUUAUGAAUGUAAGAACUGUUACAGGUAUGGAUGAAUCUUCAGUAAGAACUAUUGUGUGUGUAUUGGGAAGAAUCAGAGGAGCAAGGAUACCAUAAAUGUUGGUGGAGAUGGAUAUGAGGUGUAUGAGUUGUAUAGGUUAGUUCUGGCAGUGAUGUUUGAUAGAAGUGAUAGAGUUGAACUGAGUUCAGUUGAAGUAGGCAUGGCUGCAACUUAUGGAUUGUAUGUAGUUUGACUGUUGCUUGUACUACAAUUGCAGUUAUUAAUAACGAUCGCUUCAAAGGAUGAACCAGUGGAUCGUGGAUCUCGGGGUAGGUGUGGCUUGUCAUCAAAAGAGGUGGGAAUACUUUUAACUCUUUUGAAACCAUUGUUGUUUCUUUUACAAAAGCUUAUGUUUAACAAACUCAUGCAUUGUCUAUUUGUGCAUUUCAUACGUCGUUCAGUUUGUAUUAUGAUUGUUCUGUUGAUUCUUUGAAUAUUUCCAUGAAUUGGAAAUGACUUGUAAUGUUUGUUGUCAUUAUGAAUUGUUAUGGGAAAUGAGAAUUUCCACGUGUGGUA